rnacentral:rRNA from 1 species
UACGAAGGGUGCGAGCGUUAUUCGGAAUAACUGGGCGUAAAGGGCGCGUAGGCGGUAUUCUAAGUCGACGGUUAAAGAUCAUGGCUUAACUGUGAAAAGGCCGGCGAUACUGGGAUGCUAGAGGGUGGUAGAGAGGAGUGGAAUUCUCGGAGUAGCGGUAAAAUGCGUAGAUCUCGAGAGGAACACCGAUGGCGAAGGCAGCUCCUUGGACCACAACUGACGCUAAGGCGCGAAAGCGUGGGGAGCAAACAGG